GAUGAAGAACGUAGCGAAAUGCGAUAACUAAUGUGAAUUGCAGAAUUCCGUGAAUCAUCGAGUCUUUGAACGCACAUUGCGCCCCCUGGUAUUCCGGGGGGCAUGCCUGUCCGAGCGUCAUUGCUGCCCAUCAAGCACGGCUUGUGUGUUGGGUCCUCGUCCCCCCCGGGGGACCUGCCCGAAAGGCAGCGGCGGCACCGCGUCCGGUCCUCGAGCGUAUGGGGCUUUGUCACCCGCUCUGCAGGCCCGGCCGGCGCUGGCCGACGCGAAAGCAACCAUUUUUUCUCCAGGUUGACCUCGGAUCAGGUAGGGAUACCCGCUGAACUUAAGCAUAUCAAUAAGCGGAGGA
rnacentral:misc_RNA from 1 species